rnacentral:rRNA from 1 species
AGAGUUUGAUCAUGGCUCAGGACGAACGCUGGCGGCACGCUUAACACAUGCAAGUCGAACGAGAGAAGAGGAGCUUGCUUUUCUGAUCUAGUGGCGGACGGGUGAGUAACACGUGAGCAAUCUGCCUUUCAGAGGGGGAUACCGAUUGGAAACGAUCGUUAAUACCGCAUAACAUAAUUGAACCGCAUGAUUUGAUUAUCAAAGAUUUAUCGCUGAAAGAUGAGCUCGCGUCUGAUUAGCUAGUUGGUAAGGUAACGGCUUACCAAGGCGACGAUCAGUAGCCGGACUGAGAGGUUGAUCGGCCACAUUGGGACUGAGACACGGCCCAGACUCCUACGGGAGGCAGCAGUGGGGAAUAUUGCACAAUGGAGGAAACUCUGAUGCAGCGAUGCCGCGUGAGGGAAGAAGGUUUUAGGAUUGUAAACCUCUGUCUUCAGGGACGAAAAAAGACGGUACCUGAGGAGGAAGCUCCGGCUAACUACGUGCCAGCAGCCGCGGUAAUACGUAGGGAGCGAGCGUUGUCCGGAAUUACUGGGUGUAAAGGGAGCGUAGGCGGGAUCGCAAGUCAGAUGUGAAAACUAUGGGCUUAACCCAUAAACUGCAUUUGAAACUGUGGUUCUUGAGUGAAGUAGAGGUAAGCGGAAUUCCUAGUGUAGCGGUGAAAUGCGUAGAUAUUAGGAGGAACAUCAGUGGCGAAGGCGGCUUACUGGGCUUUAACUGACGCUGAGGCUCGAAAGCGUGGGGAGCAAACAGGAUUAGAUACCCAGGUAGUCCACGCCGUAAACGAUGAUUACUAGGUGUGGGGGGACUGACCCCUUCCGUGCCGCAGCAAACGCAAUAAGUAAUCCACCUGGGGAGUACGACCGCAAGGUUGAAACUCAAAGGAAUUGACGGGGGCCCGCACAAGCAGUGGAGUAUGUGGAUUAAUUCGAAGCAACGCGAAGAGCCUUACCAGGUCUUGACAUCGUAUGCAUAGCUCAGAGAUGAGUGAAAUCUCUUCGGAGACAUAUAGACAGGUGGUGCAUGGUUGUCGUCAGCUCGUGUCGUGAGAUGUUGGGUUAAGUCCCGCAACGGGCGCAACCCUUACUGUUAGUUGCUACGCAAGAGCACUCUAGCAGGACUGCCGUUGACAAAACGGAGGAAGGUGGGGAUGACGUCAAAUCAUCAUGCCCCUUAUGACCUGGGCCUCACACGUACUACAAUGGCUGUCAACAGAGGGAAGCAAAGCCGCGAGGUGGAGCGAACCCCUAAAAGCAGUCUUAGUUCGGAUUGUAGGCUGCAACCCGCCUACAUGAAGUCGGAAUUGCUAGUAAUCGCAGAUCAGCAUGCUGCGGUGAAUACGUUCCCGGGCCUUGUACACACCGCCCGUCACGCCAUGGGAGUCGGUAACACCCGAAGCCUGUAGUCUAACCGCAAGGAGGACGCAGUCGAAGGUGGGAUUGAUGACUGGGGUGAAGUCGUAACAAGGUA